rnacentral:tRNA from 1 species
GGCCUUGUCGUCUAGCCCGGUCUAGGACACUAGAUUCUCAUUCUAGUAACACGGGUUCGAAUCCCGUCGAGGCUACCA